CCUACGGGUGGCAGCAGUGAGGAAUAUUGGUCAAUGGCCGGAAGGCUGAACCAGCCAAGCCGCGUGAAGGACGAAGGUGCCAAGCAUUGUAAACUUCUUUUGUCAAGGGACAAACUCAGGCUCGAGAGCCUGACCGAGGGUACUUUAAGAACAAGAAUCGGCUAACUCCGUUCCAGCCGCCGCGGUAAUACGGAGGGUGCGAGCGUUAUCCGGAUUUAUUGGGUUUAAGGGGUGCGUAGGCGGACUGUUAAGUCAGCGGUAAAAGCCCGGGGCUCAACCCCGGCGAGCCGUUGAAACUGGCUGUCUUGAGAUGUCGAGAGGUAGGCGGAAUGCGAAGUGUAGCGGUGAAAUGCUUAGAUAUUGCGAAGAACUCCGAUUGCGAAGGCAGCAUACCGGAGGCGAUCUGACGCUGAGGCACGAAAGCGUGGGUAUCGAACAGGAUUAGAUACCCGAGUAGUC
rnacentral:rRNA from 1 species